GUCUUGUGAUCUGUACAGAGGAACAGCUCUGAACGCAACUGGCCAGCGAAGGGUCUCCCCCUGAGCUGCCUGUGCAUCAGUGUUG
rnacentral:rRNA from 1 species